CAGUAGCCACGGGAAUACGUAGGUGGCAAGCGUUGUCCGGAAUUAUUGGGCGUAAAGCGAGCGCAGGCGGUUUGAUAAGUCUGAAGUUAAAGGCUGUGGCUCAACCAUAGUUCGCUUUGGAAACUGUCGAACUUGAGUGCAGAAGGGGAGAGUGGAAUUCCAUGUGUAGCGGUGAAAUGCGUAGAUAUAUGGAGGAACACCGGUGGCGAAAGCGGCUCUCUGGUCUGUAACUGACGCUGAGGCUCGAAAGCGUGGGGAGCGAACAGGAUUAGAUACCCCGGUAGUCCCUGUCUCUUAUACA
rnacentral:rRNA from 1 species